CCCGGAGAUGGAUUCUGAGACACGAAUCCAGGCCCUACGGGGUGCAGCAGGCGCGAACACUUUACAAUGCGGGAAACCGCGAUAAGGGAACCCCGAGUGCCAGCAUCAAAUGUUGGCUGUCCAGAUGAUUAAAAAUCAUUUGUUAGCAAGGGCCGGGCAAGACCGGUGCCAGCCGCCGCGGUAACACCGGCGGCCCGAGUGGUAGCCGUUUUUAUUGGGUCUAAAGGGUCCGUAGCCGGCCUGAUAAGUCCUUUGGGAAAUCUGGCAGCUUAACUGUCAGGCUUCUAAGGGAUACUGUCAGGCUUGGGACCGGAAGAGGUAAGGGGUACUCCAGGGGUAGGAGUGAAAUCUUGUAAUCCCUGGGGGACCAUCUGUGGCGAAGGCGCCUUACCAGAACGGGUCCGACGGUGAGGGACGAAAGCUAGGGGAGCAAACCGGAUUAGAUACCCGGGUAGUCCUAGCUGUAAACGAUGCUCGCUAGGUGUCAGACACGGUGCGACCGUGUUUGGUGCCGCAGGGAAGCCGUUAAGCGAGCCACCUGGGAAGUACGGUCGCAAGGCUGAAACUAAGA
rnacentral:rRNA from 1 species